GGCGGUGACGGGUAGCCGGCCUGAGAGGGCGACCGGCCACACUGGGACUGAGACACGGCCCAGACUCCUACGGGAGGCAGCAGUGGGGAAUAUUGCGCAAUGGGCGGAAGCCUGACGCAGCGACGCCGCGUGGGGGAUGACGGCCUUCGGGUUGUAAACCUCUUUCGCCAGGGACGAAGAGUGAUUGACGGUACCUGGAGAAGAAGCACCGGCCAACUACGUGCCAGCAGCCGCGGUAACACGUAGGGUGCGAGCGUUGUCCGGAAUUAUUGGGCGUAAAGAGCUCGUAGGCGGUGUGUCGCGUCGGCCGUGAAAACUUGGGGCUUAACUCUGAGCGUGCGGUCGAUACGGGCAUCACUUGAGUUCGGCAGGGGAGACUGGAAUUCCUGGUGUAGCGGUGAAAUGCGCAGAUAUCAGGAGGAACACCGGUGGCGAAGGCGGGUCUCUGGGCCGAUACUGACGCUGAGGAGCGAAAGCGUGGGGAGCGAACAGGAUUAGAUACCCUGGUAGUCCACGCCGUAAACGUUGGGCGCUAGGUGUGGGGACCAUUCCACG
rnacentral:rRNA from 2 species